AUUUAUUUGCACUUGACACAGAGGGAUGCUAUCUCCCAGAGGCAGGAACGUCUUCCACAAGUUCUCAGGAGUGGGUGAGUGACAGCUGAACACUGAGUCCAUGACACUCUUUUCCGGGCGUUGUUAAUACUCACGAUUGGAAWMGCUCUCCGUUUACCUUGCCUGAUUCUGCUGGGACACCCGGGGGAUUUUCCAAGGCUACGAGCACAGGACUGUGUGGUGGUCAUUGCCAGGCAGUGAUGCUGCAGUAGAAGAUACUCUUUCCUGUGGUUUACCAAUAAACCAGCAGGACACUUUGCUGCUAGCAGCCCUAUACUGCUGAGAAUUGUUUUUCAGAUCGUUGUAGCUCUCACGCACUUUGGACUCAUCUCGUGUGCUUGAUGCGGCUCGUUGCCUCUGGAUGCGCAGCAGGACAGAGGAAGCUGGUGUCGUAAGAAGGCAUCUGUGUAGAGAUCGUUUGUUGGACCUGGAGCUGGACUGGUYGGUAAAGGACCACAGAAGAUCUGUCCAUGUAGAAAGUGAGUUUAAUUGCUUGCUGCAGGUACCUGAAACUGAAAAUGCUUCUGCUUUGUGCAUGCUGAUACACACACCAUGGCCUCUCUGCCUCUUCAUGCAGAGCGGGUGAGCCAUAGUGAUUUGUGGAGCAGAAAGAACAGCUUCUGUCUUGCAGGGUAUUGGCAUAAAGACUUUGGCACGAGAAAGACACAGGCAGCUMCACUUAUAUAAUUUAGGAAGGAGAUUUCUCUGAGGAGACACAACCAGAUGCUGUGGCUGUUUUCAAGGUAACCUAGUAUAUAUCCCUUACUGUGUUAACU
rnacentral:lncRNA from 1 species